CUCUGCUUUGCCUUGUCUUCCCGAGUAGCUGCUCCAUUCCCGGCAUAGAGGAUCAGGAGAGGGGACGCCACCUGCCACACGCUGGAUGCUGGGGUCCGCACGACUGCGGCUUGUGUCGCUGUGGUUGGUGGUGGUGAUGGAAACUGCAGCGUGGCUGGAGUGCAGAAGAGAAACUGUCUUUAAAAUCUGUCUGCCUGGAUAAACUCAAAGGAGCCUUUACAGAAAGCACAUUCACACAGACUGGCUAAUGAGACCCCACACUGAAGAAGCCUAGAACUUCCACAGACUCCCUGAAAUCUAAGUCCUCAUUUUUAACAUACAGCUUUUAAUACUAGCUUCAGAAGUCCCGGAUCCCUGCAAAGUUAAUAGAGUUCCCUGGCCCCUUCUAUGUUGAGACAUGGUGAAAAGGCAGCCUCUAUCAACCAGAAAGCAGACUCUUUUCAGCCACAACAAUGAACCAUUUCUUGAUUGGAUUGUGAUGUGACGAAAAGUGGAUUUUAUACGACAACCGGCAAUGACCAGCUCAGUGGUUGGACCAAGAAGACGCUCCAAGGCACUUCCCAAAGCCAAACUUGCACCAAAAAAGGUUAUGGUCACUAUUUGGUGGUCGUCGGCUCGUCUGAUCCACUGCAGCUUUCUGAAUGCCAGUGAAACCAUUGCCUCUGAGGAGUGUACUCAGCAAAUUGAUGACAUGCACUGAAAACUCCAGCGCCUGCAGGCAGCAUUGAUCAACAGAAAAGCCCAAUUCUUCUUCAUGACAGCACCUGACCACAUGUCACACAACUCACGCUUUAAAAGUUGAACAAAUUGGGCUACGAAGUUUCACCUCAUCUGCCGUAUUCACCUGAUCUCUCGCCAACUGACUACUACUUAUUCGAGCAUCUUGACAACUCUUUGCAGGGAAAAUGCUUUCAGGACCAGCAGGAUGCAGAAAAUGCUUUCAAGAGUUUAUUGAAUCCUGAAGAAUGGAUUUUUACACUAUAGAAAUAAACAGACUGGGCGCAGUGGCUCACGCCUGUAAUCUCAGCACUUUGGGAGGCCAAGGCAGCCAGAUCACCUGAGGUGAGGAGUGCGAGACCAGCAUGACCAACAUGGAGAAACCCCGUCUCUACUAAAAAUACAAAAUUAGCCAGGCGUGGUGGUGCAUGCCUGUAAUCCCAGCUACUUGGGAGGCUGAGGAAGGAGAAUCACUUGAACCCAGGAGGCGGAGGUUGUGAGCUGAGAUUGCACCACUGCAUUCCAGCCUGGGCAGCAAGAGUGAAAGUCCAUCUCAGAGAGGAAAAAAAAAAAAAAAGGAAAAAGAAAAG